rnacentral:lncRNA from 1 species
AUGAAAUAUUGUUCCUUGUCAUUUGCCUUUUAAAAUUGUGUUGGCAUUCAGGACUUUUGCCCAUAUACGUUUUGAUUCAUUGUUUGACCUUUUUAUUAUGUUUGUUUUGUUUAUGGCAUUCCAAUAGUUAUUAGCAAAUAACUGAGAUUAAAUAGCAAUGAGCUGUGACUUGAUUGAAUUUCAUCAGUGUUAUUGUUUAUUUGGAUAUUAUAUAAUGUAUAAAACAAUUACUGAUAUCUAGGUCACUUUAUUUAUCAUUUGAAAAAUGGAACAAUCUUGGGCUAAACCACAUUAGUGGAUUUUCUUAGUGGACUCCUCACUCUGUUUUAUUGUUUGAACAAAGGCAAGAUUGGACUCAAUGAAGGGUCGAGAUGGCGGACUAGAGGGGGGUGAAUAGUCCUUUCUAAAACUUAACGCGCCGGCUAGUCGAAACAAAUGCGGAAUUAAAACUAUCGGUCUAGCCAAGACUACACCCCUCUAUCUGAGUUCUCUAGCACCUUGUAAAGAUCCUAAACAAGCAAACGAGGUGCUACCUUAGCAAGAGCUCACCUAACCAAUUCUAGGAGCAAGGUCACACAAACCUAUGCAACUAGUACUUUGCAAACCGGGGGAGCUCCUACACAAACUAGUGAGGCAAAGCGCACAAAACCUAAGCUCACUAGCAAGCUCAAUAAUAAGGCAACUAAUGCCAAAUUAGAGAGCGCAAACUACUUAGCUACACAAACUAAGCAAUGUGACUAACAAGGUUACACAAACCAAAUUAGUCACGCAAAGGAACUACUUCUAGCUACACAAGCAAGAAGGUAACUAGCAAGCUACACAAGCUAACUAAUUACAAGAGCAACUACACAAGCACAAUUAUAUGAAUGUAAGAACAAGCUUGUGUUAGGGACUUGCAAACCAACGGGAAGAACAAUGUUGACACGAUGAUUUUCUCCUGAGGUUCACUUGGUUGCCACCAAGCUACGUCCCCGUUGAGACAAGCUCCAAGGUUGCCGCCGGUCCUCUUGCUAGUGGUGACCCGCAAGUCACACUCUCCCACGUGGAGUGCUUACCACAAGCUCUAGCACUUGACCCGGCCGGACCACUUGUCGCUCUUCACGUCUCGCUCAACUAGAGUUGCUCUUCACGAUCCCCGCGGGGUGAGCACCGUACCCCUCACAAUCUCUUCUCCGGAGCACCGCACAAUCUCCUUGCGUGCUUCGACGGAGUCACAAGCCACCAAGCCGUCUAGGAGGUGGCAACCUCCAAGAGUAACAAGCACCACCGGCUUGCAACACGAACACCUAGUGCCACUCGAUGCAAUCUCUCAAUGCAACGCACUAGAAUCACUCACUCGCUAUUGAUUCACACUCUUGCAAGCACAAGUGAGUUAGAGGCUUUCCUAGCACUCCCCAAGCAUGGACACUAAGUCCCAAGGGUGCUCAGCACCGGCCAAGGCCGGCCACCACUUCUAUUUAUAGCCCCAAGGGCUAAACUAGCCGUUGCCCCUUCACUGGGCAAAACACGUGAGCACCGGACGCUCUCAAGGAGCCACCGGACGCUCAACACCCAGCGUCCGGUGCUCAGCUGACCGCCACGUGUCACUAGCCGUUUGAAGUCGACCGUUGCCGCCAACGGCUACUUCGCACGCGCGCCUGCACAGCACCACCGGACGAUGGGCACCGGACGGUCCGGUGCUCACCGGACUCGUGCGCAGAGAGGGUUGCAAAAACCCCUCACACCGGACGCUAACCACCGGACGCUCUCAGAGUGCGUCCGGUGCUUAACCCUAGCAGGGUCAAGCUCACCGGACGCUGAGGCCAGCGUCCGGUGCCUCCGCACUCAGCGUCCGGUGAGUGUUUCUCAGUGAGAAAACACUCCCGCGACUUCUCUAAAUUUCCCACCGGCGCAAUAGAAAAUAUACACUUAUUUUUCUCAAAAGCGCCGAAUCCCGCCGCGCAAGCUCGGCGGGAGGGAGAGAGAAACCCACACCUCUCUCAACCCUAGGAACACCACCUCCUUUGUAAAGUGUGCCAACACCAACAAGUGUACACCACCAUGUGCAUGUGUGUUAGCAUUUUUACAAACAAUUUCCCAAAGGAGUUAGCCUCUUAAACUUGCCACGCCACUCGAUCCUAACACGUAUGCAAAGUUAGAUCGCUCAAGUGGCACUAGAUGACCGAUAUGCAAACAAGUUUGCCUCUCUUGAUAGUACGGCCAUCUAUCCUAAAUCCGGUCAUAAACUUCUCUACACACCUAUGACCGGUGAAAUGGAAAUGCCCUAGGUUAUACCUUUGCCUUGCGCUUUCCAUUCCAUCUCCUCCAAUGUUGAUGCAACACAUGCACCAACCAAUCACCAAAUGAUAUGAUCCACUUCAUAUCAUCACGUGACCGUAUUGGUUCAUCGAUCUUGACCUCACUUGCUCUUCACCGUUGCCUCGGUCCAUCGGCGCCAAGUCUUGCUCAAGCUUCACCGUCACACGCGGUCCCUCGCUUCAAAGCCUCCGACUUGCCCUUCACUCUUGCAACUAGUCCAUCGAGCCAAGCCUCAUCUUGAUCUUCUCCACCUUGGUCACAUGACUCCAUGUCAUGUCUCAUAUGCAAUGAGCUCCUCCAUCAUCACCUGUGGACUAAUUUCCUGUGUAUCUCACAUAAACACUAUUAGUCCACCUAAGUUGUCACUCAAUUAUCAAAACCAAACAAGGACCUUUCACUCAAUCAACUUCACAGUGCGCCUGCUGGAGAAUGUUAGCCUGUGAACUUCAUCGACCUUCCCAUCUUAUAUAUACUCCUAGGUUGAUGUUGACGACAUGGUGCUCAUGGAGAUCUGGUGGGGAGGAAGGGGGAAAGUCGUCGAGUCCCACUCUGCCACCCUUCCAGCUCACCAGGCCUAUGGUUCAGGUGAGGUUACCGUAUUGACUUUUAGUGUUGUAAUCAAUAGGGUUUAUAGUUAAGAGUUCUAUUAUGUGCUAAUUAUUCUUCCUACAUGAAGACUCAUGUAAUGCAAUAGGGUUGAUUGGCUGCACAUAGAAUGUUGUGAACGUCACACUCAAAAUAUAGUUUUUUUUGUAACAGCUAAGAUUUCUAUUAUGUGCUAUAAUUAUCCAUGCUAUAUGAAGACUCAUGUAAUAGUGAGAAUUGGCUACAAAUAGAAUGUUGCAACAUCAUGGUUAAAAUAUCUUUUUAUAUAACUGUACAAAGACUUUAAACUCAAAUUAUCACGGUAUUAUUUGUGAUGACAUAAGAUUUCUAUU